ACAUAGAUAGAAUAUAACAGAGAUGUAUUAGUGCUUGCUUGCAAGAGCUAUCAUACAGGUGCUGCACGGCUGUCGUCAGCUCGUGUCGUGAGAUGUUGGGUUAAGUCCCGCAACGAGCGCAACCCUCGUCAUUAGUUGCUAACAGUUCGGCUGAGAACUCUAAUGAGACUGCCUGGGUAACCAGGAGGAAGGUGAGGACGACGUCAAGUCAUCAUGGCCCUUACGUCCAGGGCUACACACGUGCUACAAUGGGGUAUACAAAGAGCAGCGAUACCGCGAGGUGGAGCAAAUCUCAUAAAAUAUCUCCCAGUUCGGAUAGUAGUCUGCAACUCGACUACUUGAAGUUGGAAUCGCUAGUAAUCGUAGAUCAGCAAUGCUACGGUGAAUACGUUCCCGGGUCUUGUACUCACCGCCCGUCACACCAUGGGAGUUGAACUCAUUCGAAGCGGGGAUGCUAAAGUAGCUACCCUCCACAGUGGAUUCAGCGACUGGGGUGAAGUCGUAACAAGGUAACC
rnacentral:rRNA from 1 species